UGGCGGCAGGCCUAACACAUGCAAGUCGAGCGGAUGAAGGGAGCUUGCUCCUGGAUUCAGCGGCGGACGGGUGAGUAAUGCCUAGGAAUCUGCCUGGUAGUGGGGGAUAACGUCCGGAAACGGGCGCUAAUACCGCAUACGUCCUGAGGGAGAAAGUGGGGGAUCUUCGGACCUCACGCUAUCAGAUGAGCCUAGGUCGGAUUAGCUAGUUGGUGGGGUAAAGGCCUACCAAGGCGACGAUCCGUAACUGGUCUGAGAGGAUGAUCAGUCACACUGGAACUGAGACACGGUCCAGACUCCUACGGGAGGCAGCAGUGGGGAAUAUUGGACAAUGGGCGAAAGCCUGAUCCAGCCAUGCCGCGUGUGUGAAGAAGGUCUUCGGAUUGUAAAGCACUUUAAGUUGGGAGGAAGGGCAGUAAGUUAAUACCUUGCUGUUUUGACGUUACCAACAGAACAAGCACCGGCUAACUUCGUGCCAGCAGCCGCGGUAAUACGAAGGGUGCAAGCGUUAAUCGGAAUUACUGGGCGUAAAGCGCGCGUAGGUGGUUCAGCAAGUUGGAUGUGAAAUCCCCGGGCUCAACCUGGGAACUGCAUCCAAAACUACUGAGCUAGAGUACGGUAGAGGGUGGUGGAAUUUCCUGUGUAGCGGUGAAAUGCGUAGAUAUAGGAAGGAACACCAGUGGCGAAGGCGACCACCUGGACUGAUACUGACACUGAGGUGCGAAAGCGUGGGGAGCGAACAGGAUUAGAUACCCUGGUAGUCCACGCCGCAAACGAUGUCGACUAGCCGUUGGGAUCCUUGAGAUCUUAGUGGCGCCGCUAACGCGAUAAGUCGACCGCCUGGGGAGUACGGCCGCAAGGUUAAAACUCAAAUGAAUUGACGGGGGCCCGCACAAGCGGUGGAGCAUGUGGUUUAAUUCGAAGCAACGCGAAGAACCUUACCUGGCCUUGACAUGCUGAGAACUUUCCAGAGAUGGAUUGGUGCCUUCGGGAACUCAGACACAGGUGCUGCAUGGCUGUCGUCAGCUCGUGUCGUGAGAUGUUGGGUUAAGUCCCGUAACGAGCGCAACCCUUGUCCUUAGUUACCAGCACCUCGGGUGGGCACUCUAAGGAGACUGCCGGUGACAAACCGGAGGAAGGUGGGGAUGACGUCAAGUCAUCAUGGCCCUUACGGCCAGGGCUACGCACGUGCUACAAUGGUCGGUACAAAGGGUUGCCAAGCCGCGAGGUGGAGCUAAUCCCAUAAAACCGAUCGUAGUCCGGAUCGCAGUCUGCAACUCGACUGCGUGAAGUCGGAAUCGCUAGUAAUCGUGAAUCAGAAUGUCACGGUGAAUACGUUCCCGGGCCUUGUACACACCGCCCGUCACACCAUGGGAGUGGGUUGCUCCAGAAGUAGCUAGUCUAACCGCAAGGGGGACGGUUACCACGGAGUGAUUCAUGACUGGGGUGAAGUCGUAACAAGGU
rnacentral:rRNA from 1 species